AUUUCAGCAUCAGUUCUCCGCCGGUCGUCGUCGUCUACGCAGCAUAAUUAGAAGCAGCAUCGGGACGCCCCGAAUCGGUAUACACGUGUGUGUAUGUGACUGUGUGUGUGUGUGUGUGUACAUUUCAGGGGUAUCAGCAUCCUAGUGAACCGGAUCAUCAUUUAAAAAAAAAUCCUGGGAGGGGUUGGCUGGAUGGUGUGAUUAAAAAUUUUGAGACAGAACAAACCGGAGAUUCCCAUUCCAGCGGCCACAAAAACCAUUCGGGAGGAACUGCCGGGUGCGCCUGUGUGUAGGUUAAAAAUUUACGCGGCGGGAGGUCCAGCGACGCCUUUGCUUGAAAAGCAUCGGCAACAUAGUUUUGUGGCUAUCCUGAUACAUGGUGUGAAAUUCUGUUAGAAAUUUCCUUUGAAGCUUGAAGUGACGGAAAAAAAAGUUUACCUCAAAAAAAGAAAAACGUCAGGACCAAAAGCAGGAAAAAAAAAUACCAAAAAACCAUGGAUUACCGACCGAUUCUGAUAAUCUGCCUGCUGACGGUGACGCUGAACUUCUGUUCCGGCCAGGUACAGACGCCCACCAUCACCGCCAUCAGCCCGGAGCAGAUCAAGGACAUCGGCGACACGGUGACGCUGGAAUGCGACAUCAGCAACGUGGGCAAGUUCACGGUCGGCUGGCAGAAAACGAACCGGGAACGGUCCCAGAACGUGAACACCAUCUCGUUGGGGGGCACUUUGGCCGUCUUCGAGGAACGGUUUACCCUGGGCAAUGACAAGGAGAACGACACCAUGAAGUACAAACUGACAAUCAGCGACAUCGUCAACACCGAUGCCGGUCUGUACGAGUGCCAGAUUCAGGUGAACAGCACCAACAAAGUGACGGCCACGGUCGAGUUGCAGGUUCGGCAUCCUCCGAUUCUGCAGGAGAACCUCAUCGCCACGACGGUGACCAAGGCCGAGGGUGAGGACGCGAAGCUGACCUGCGCAGCCGAAGGCUAUCCUCGGCCGAGCAUCACCUGGAAGCGCGAGUACAGUGCCAUCUUGCCGAUCGGAGGUCAAACGUACAGCGGACCCGAACUGGUGCUCGGCUCGCUGGCCAAGGAAGAUCGUGGAACGUACUACUGUAUUGCCGAUAACGGAGUCGGCAAACCGGACACCAAGACGAUCAAUCUGGAGGUGGAAUUUGCGCCGGUCAUUUCCGUCCCGAGGCCGAAGGUGGCCCAGGCUACCGAGUACGACAUCGAGCUGGAGUGUAUCGUGCAGGCUUUCCCGUCGCCUUCGGUUGCCUGGUACAAAAAUGGCCACCAGAUCCAUAGCGGGGGAUCGUAUUCAAUCUCGCAAACUGGCCAACCGAACGACGUGACGACUUCGGUGUUCAAAAUCCACUCGGUCGAGAGUUCGCACUACGGUGAUUAUACCUGCAAGGCUUCGAACAAGGUUGGACACGCCGAGUCCCGAGUCAAUUUGUACGAAUCGAUUAUCCCGGUUACUUACUGAGUGUACUUUAGUUGCUUGUCGAUGUUGGUUUUGCCACCUUAGCAAAUUUUUGUUAUCUUUUUAAUUUCUUCUAUUCCAAUGGUUUUCAUCAAGAACAACGCGUCCCGAACAUCAACUAUUCCGGUUUGAAAUGGUCCAGCUCCGGUCGGGUUCUGGCUAGCCAUCUCGGUAUUCUGCUGAUAACGGCAAUGCUGGCCACGCUCUUGUGAAUAAGAAAGCGAUCUUAACCAGCCCAAACCUCCGGUUGGAACUUCAUCUGGCAACACUGGUGUUAAACUUGGCUCAUAAAACCAUUCAACCAAAAUCUACCAAACAAAACAUUUAGAAACAACAAAGUGCAAAUUAUACACCGUUUUUAGAAGUGAACCUGGAACUCAUCCCACUGGGAGCAGAUUUUAACUCAGACGCAGAAAAAAACCCACCACAAAUAGAUAAACAUAUCCAUUUAAAUUUUUCUCUUAAAGUUUAGAUUUCCCUAUUAUUUGUUUAGAUAAAUCGAAAAGAUUCUACUUCCAAUUUAGAGAAAAAAAAAGCGUUUCGAAUCAACCAUGUACAAAAUCUCGUGUUCUACUAAAUGAAAGCGGCAAAAACACAACAAGUGCGACAUAUUCAACAAAACGUAAACAAAAAACUUUUAAAAUAACAGAACAAAAAAAAACAACAGAUAAACAAUUUACCUGCGCAAUUUACUCGUUAGCUUGUAAGUGGACAACUUUCCGAAAAUCGUGUGAAAUAUAUAAGGCUGAUAACUGGA